GAAUUUGUUUCUCUCUCUUUCCGCUUAGGUUUUUCAAUUUUUUUUUCUUAUUUUUUGUGUGUGUUAUAGAUGCUUCACAGUGUGAUUUGUUUCCACAAACUAGGUUAUGCAAAUGCUUUUUCUUUAAUAAUUUGGGGAAAUUAAGGCCUAAGCAAGCCGGAGACGGCUCUGAUCGCAGAUUUAACGAUGCUCUUCACCGUCGAUUUCUUAGACAAGUGCCGUUAAAGAUAAAGAAGGAAGAAGAAGAAAUAAUUCAAAUAGAAAACUACGAUUUUCAGAGUCACAUCAAAUUUAAACUGAUACCCAGUUCUAUAUUCACCACUUGAUCCGAAAACUUGGAUGUGAACCUUACUUUGGGCAGCGUGCAAUAUCCAGUUUCUCAAAGAAUUUCCAUGGUAGCAGAAAAAGUGCUAUUCUUGGAUCCAUUUGAUAAGAGGCUUUUCCAAACUUGCAUGAGUGCCUGUUCAUCAUGUAAGUACUAUGGUAAGUUUCACAAUCAUGAUCAUCAAUUCCAUCCUGACCCUAAUCAGUUUUUCAAAACGAAACAGCAUUUUAUUAUGAGAAGCUAAUCCAUGCAUAAUUCCUGCUGGUUCUACUUAUCUAUUAUGUCUUAUCAUCAGACCUUUCUUUGAGGUUAUGUGAUCUUAUUUUGAGCUGAACAUAUGGAAAUUUCAUAUUGGUUCUUCAAUAAAGAAUUUAGAUGCAAGUAUAAGUUGGUUCUCUAGCUCACCCUGGCCUUCUCAUUUAUCUUCUUCUCAUUGUUCUUUUAACGUUUUUGGUGGAUGAUAUGAUCCAGCUUAUUGAGUUUUUGAUAUCAGACUACUUGUUAACUUGGUUGAGGGUUGAAGGCCUUGACUAUGGUAUAUAUCUUUCCUGCUUUUUGUCCAUGUUGAUUAGGUUCUCGUUGGUUUCUGCUGAUUAAGCUUCCUCUUGGUGUUGCAUUCGAAUUUCAUGCUAGCUGUUUUACAAUUAGUAUUUCUCUAAAGCUGGAUCGGAAUUUAAUACAUUCUUUGCAUUCUGUAAUUUGAGAAAAUUUUUGGUAUACUUCUCUUUGUUGGAUCUAAGAUCACGCUUUAGAAGCAUGCAUCAGAAACCAUAAACAUGACAUCCAAUAGCUACAUUGCAGCGGUGUUUGAGGAGUGGGUGAUCUCAUUUCUCCAUGCUCGCAAAGCAUUAGCACUUCUUGAAAGCAGAAAAGGGCUUUAUGUUUCGUACUUGGAUCGAGUCACAGGUGAACUGGCUAAACAUGUGGGCCAGGUUUCAACAUUUCAGAAGCUCAGCCAAGAUAUUCUUGAUAAACUAUUCUGCCGACUAAAGCAUGGAUUCAUCCAAAUGCCAGUAUUUCCUGUCUAAAAUACCAGUGGACACCGACUGUCUAAGAUACCAGUGCUUUAUUUGGAUUUUGCAAAGCAUAUGCCAAAGGAACAUGUUUAACAGCAGAAGAGUAAGGCCUUUGCAUAGUAAGAUCUAAAUAAAGCCUGUCUAGUAUUAGUUGGAAGCAUUGUAUCUAGGAAAAAAGAUAGAAAGAUUUGAUUAAAUUAAAAAUCAUCUUCCACUUUAGGUGCUUUAGUAGUUUAUUGACAUUGCACCAUUGCCUUGGAGUCAAUAUUUGAUAUCAGCAUCAAGAAUCAUCCUCCACCCAGCUUUAUUUUGUGUCAAUUGUUUUUUGGCAAUCUAAGUAAUUUACACCAUGAAUUUUAUUACAAGGGGUAUCCUGUAGAAAACUCGAAGCUAGUCUUGGGAUAAAGAAGUCCUAGCUUAAUUUCUUCUUGUCAUUUUUUACUCAAAAGUUAUUUUUGCUGAUAUGCAAUAUGAUUCUGUUCUGCCCUUUUCUUAUCAUGAAAUCAAGUGAAGUAAAAUCUUGCUGUUCCAAAUUCCCUUGUCAUGCUGGAAAGAGAUACCUUACUUAAGUUUGCUACCUGUGUCAAUUUGCUAGGCUGUUGUAGGUAUCUUUCAACAGACGUCCAUGUGCAGUGAGGGACAUUUCACAGGGAGGUAAUAUUUUAAAUUCUUGAUUGCUUGCGGCACUCCUUAUAAAUAUCUCCUCCUUAUUAAUCAUAGAGUCCACUAAACAACAAAUAUCUUAGCUACUUUUCCUUAGCAGACAUGACUCAAAUGAGGAGUGUAUUCACUUUCCUGCUCUUCAGCCUCCUCUUGCUAUCACACUCUCUUCCAAGUUCAGCUGUCAAGAGUCAAUUUGAUAAAGUUCCCACCAAAUCCCAACUGCCUCAGGGAAGACAAAAUGGCCUGAUCAAUUCAUUUCAGACUCCGAAGUUAGGAGUUCACAUAAAAAAAAGGGCUCGUUUUUAUCCUCGUAGUGGUCGCAAAUCGUCUGCUGUCCGAACCCAACUUCCUUCCAGCCAUAUAAUUGGUUCAGUUCUCGCCUUCCUCAGUUUCUUCCUGUUCUAAGCCUGAUAUGGUUAAUUGCCCAAUUUGUUGAAGUUGAGUGUUCAAUAAUUCUCUCAAUGAGUCGCUGUAUACCAAGCGGUGCCUUACCUUAUUAGGAAAAAGGAUGUCUUUUCUAUGUUACCCUGCCUAUGGCUUUUGCACGUGCCUUGUAUUUAUUUAGCAGAUCUUCUCAACACAACUAGAGGAUCUGCAUAAACAGAUAGUCAUAGCAGUUAGUUGCUUUUACCAAUACUGAGGCUGUUAAUUUUCUUAAACCAUGCAAUCAAUGCAUGUAUUUCACAUGGGCGAUCAUUGUUCCAAUAUUGUUAAGUAAAUAAAAUAUCAGCCUAUUUUUAGUA